AAUUUUAUAGUGUAAAAAACACGCUACAUUUUCAUUGUAGAGCUGAAUAACUUAUUCUAAAAUUU
rnacentral:tRNA from 1 species